GGAUGAACGCUGUCGGCGUGCCUAAUCCAUGCAAGUCGAGCGAACAGACGAGGAGCUUGCUCCUUCGACGUUAGCGGCGGACGGGUGAGUAACACGUAGGUAACCUACCUAUAAGACUGGGAUAACUUCGGGAAACCGGAGCUAAUACCGGAUAAUAUUUCGAACCGCAUGGUUCGAUAGUUAAAGAUGGCAUUGCUAUCACUUAUAGAUGGACCUGCGCCGUAUUAGCUAGUUGGUAAGGUAACGGCUUACCAAGGCAACGAUACGUAGCCGACCUGAGAGGGUGAUCGGCCACACUGGAACUGAGACACGGUCCAGACUCCUACGGGAGGCAGCAGUAGGGAAUCUUCCGCAAUGGGCGAAAGCCUGACGGAGCAACGCCGCGUGAGUGAUGAAGGUCUUCGGAUCGUAAAACUCUGUUAUUAGGGAAGAACAAACGUGUAAGUAACUGUGCACGUCUUGACGGUACCUAAUCAGAAAGCCACGGCUAACUACGUG
rnacentral:rRNA from 1 species